AGAGUUUGAUCCUGGCUCAGGAUGAACGCUAGCGGCAGGCUUAAUACAUGCAAGUCGAACGGGAUUCGGGGUAGCAAUACUUUGAUGAGAGUGGCGCACGGGUGCGUAACGCGUAUGCAACCUACCUUUAACAGGGGAAUAGCCCCGAGAAAUCGGGAUUAAUACUCCGUAACAUUGCGGUGUGGCAUCACACUGCAAUUAAAGAUUUAUCGGUUAAAGAUGGGCAUGCGUGACAUUAGCUAGUUGGUGAGGUAACGGCUCACCAAGGCAACGAUGUCUAGGGGUCCUGAGAGGGUUAUCCCCCACACUGGUACUGAGACACGGACCAGACUCCUACGGGAGGCAGCAGUAAGGAAUAUUGGUCAAUGGGCGCAAGCCUGAACCAGCCAUGCCGCGUGCAGGAAGACGGCCCUAUGGGUUGUAAACUGCUUUUAUCAGGGAAUAAACCCCCGCUCGUGAGCGGGGCUGAAGGUACCUGAAGAAUAAGCAUCGGCUAACUCCGUGCCAGCAGCCGCGGUAAUACGGAGGAUGCAAGCGUUAUCCGGAUUCAUUGGGUUUAAAGGGUGCGCAGGCGGAUUGGUAAGUCAGGGGUGAAAUCCCACAGCUCAACUGUGGAACUGCCUUUGAUACUGUCAGUCUAGAGUAUAGUUGAAGUUGGCGGAAUGUGUCAUGUAGCGGUGAAAUGCUUAGAUAUGACACAGAACACCGAUCGCGAAGGCAGCUAGCUAAGCUAUAACUGACGCUCAUGCACGAAAGCGUGGGGAUCAAACAGGAUUAGAUACCCUGGUAGUCCACGCUGUAAACGAUGAUUACUCGAUGUUGGCGAUACACAGUCAGCGUCUGAGCGAAAGCAAUAAGUAAUCCACCUGGGGGAGUACGAUCGCAAGAUUGAAACUCAAAGGGAUUUGACGGGGGGCCCGCACAAGCGGAGGA
rnacentral:rRNA from 1 species